UAUAAUAUUUCUCUAAUUUUAUUAUGGCAAUAAAUCUCAUGUUUAAUCAGAAAAUGGUGCAUUUUAGUAUUUCCUGCGUGUUUAACACCAAGGUUCUGAAAAUUGGACCGGACCGGCCGGUUUGACCGGUUUAAUCACGAACCGGCGAUGUAAACGGUCCGGUCCUCCUCUAAAAAAUGCUCAGAAGAACCGCUGAAGAACCGGUGAACCGGCCAAAAAUCGGCCGGUUGGGUCGGACCGGUGACCGACCGGUUCUGCUAAACGACGCCGUUUUGAUUUUUAAAAAAAUAAAACCGUAACCCGACCCGACCCACUCGUGGAGCACCCCACCCCCCCUUUCUUUCCCCGACCCCAUUCAUUCCUGAUUCAUCUCACGGUGAGUGAACCCUAUCCGCCCUCUGAAGUCUGAACCCAAGCCGGCCAGUCGCCCUCCAUCGUCGCCGCGGUCUCAGGUGGUCAGCGCCACCGCCGUCGCCUGGUCCUCAGCCCCAGUAACCCUCCAUCGUCGCCUGGUUCCCUGCCCAGUAGCCCUCCAUCUCCAUCGUCUUCAUCUUCUCAACACCAGCAGGCAGUAGCCUUCCAUCUUUGCGCGGUCAUCAACACCAUCUCAUCGUCUUCAUCGUCGCGUGGUCCUCAACAGUCAACACCAGAAGCCUUCCAUCGACCCCAGACACGUCCUCAUGCACUGUUGAAGUGGAAAUAUUAGGCCAAGCUGAUACAAUAGGCAUUGCGAUGGGAAGAGUUUUGCUUGGAGAAAUAGAGGGAACAUGUAUCACACAAGAUAUGCAGCUUGUGCAUUUUGAUUUCAAUAGGUGAAAUUGAUGCUGAUUUAUAUCAAAGUGGCGGUGGUAGUAAUGGUCUUUAUGCUGCAUCUCUUAUUCUUCUGCUCAACAGGGUGUGAAUGAAAGUGAAGAUCAUCCCACCGAAGCAGAUUUGCAACAAGUUCUUGCGGAUUUUGAUGAUUGAUAAACCAUGAUGUUGGGAUUUAAUAUUUAGAUAUGCUUUUAUUACUA